rnacentral:rRNA from 1 species
ACGGCUCAGUAACACGUGGAUAACCUACCCUUAGGACUGGGAUAACCCCGGGAAACUGGGGACAAUACGGAUAUGUGGAGAUGCCUGGAACGGUACUCCAUUGAAAGCUCCGGCGCCUAAGGAUGGAUCUGCGGCAGAUUAGGUUGUUGGUGGGGUAAUGGCCCACCAAGCCUGUGAUCUGUACGGGUUGUGAGAGCAAGAGCCCGGAGAUGGAACCUGAGACAAGGUUCCAGGCCCUACGGGGCACAGCAGGCGCGAAACCUCCGCAAUGCGAGCAAUCGCGACGGGGGGACCCCAAGUGCUACUCUUAACGGGGUAGCUUUUCUAAAGUGUAAAAAGCUUCAGGAAUAAGGGCUGGGCAAGACCGGUGCCAGCCGCCGCGGUAACACCGGCAGCUCAAGUGGUAACCGUUAUUAUUGGGUCUAAAGGGUCUGUAGCCGGCCGGAUAAGUCUCUUGGGAAAUCUGGCAGCUUAACUGUCAGGCUUUCAGGGGAUACUGUCUGGCUCGAGGCCGGGAGAGGUGAGAGGUACUUCAGGGGUAGGGGUGAAAUCUUGUAAUCCUUGAAGGACCACCAGUGGCGAAGGCGUCUCACCAGAACGGACCUGACGGCAAGGGACGAAAGCUAGGGGCACGAACCGGAUUAGAUACCCGGGUAGUCCUAGCCGUAAACGAUACUCGCUAGGUGUCGGCCACGGUGCGACCGUUGUCGGUGCCGUAGGGAAGCCGUGAAGCGAGCCACCUGGGAAGUACGGCCGCAAGGCUGAAACUUAAAGGAAUUGGCGGGGGAG